rnacentral:rRNA from 1 species
AGGACGAACGCUGGCGGCGUGCUUAACACAUGCAAGUCACGGGGGUCCCGCAAGGGAUAACCGGCGAACGGGUGCGUAACACGUGAACAACCUGCCCUCGUGUGGGGGAUAGCCGGGCUAACGCCCGGGUAAUACCGCAUACGGUCCUUUGGGGGAGUCCCUGAGGGAAGAAAGCUCCGGCGCACGGGGAGGGGUUCGCGGCCUAUCAGCUAGUUGGCGGGGUAAUGGCCCACCAAGGCGACGACGGGUAGCUGA